UACAGAGGGUGCGAGCGUUGUCCGGAAUCACUGGGCGUAAAGGGCGCGUAGGUGGUGGCUUAAGCGUGCGGUGAAAGCUCGGGGCUCAACCCCGAGUCGGCCGUGCGAACUGGGCUCACUGGAGCAUAGUAGAGGCAGGUGGAAUUCCGGGUGUAGCGGUGGAAUGCGUAGAGAUCCGGAAGAACACCGGUGGCGAAGGCGGCCUGCUGGGCUAUGGCUGACACUGAGGCGCGACAGCGUGGGGAGCCAAACAGG
rnacentral:rRNA from 1 species